rnacentral:rRNA from 1 species
CCUACGGGAGGCAGCAGUGGGGAAUAUUGGACAAUGGGCGAAAGCCUGAUCCAGCCAUGCCGCGUGUGUGAAGAAGGUCUUCGGAUUGUAAAGCACUUUAAGUUGGGAGGAAGGGCAGUAAGCUAAUACCUUGCUGUUUUGACGUUACCGACAGAAUAAGCACCGGCUAACUCUGUGCCAGCAGCCGCGGUAAUACAGAGGGUGCAAGCGUUAAUCGGAAUUACUGGGCGUAAAGCGCGCGUAGGUGGUUUGUUAAGUUGGAUGUGAAAGCCCCGGGCUCAACCUGGGAACUGCAUCCAAAACGGGCAAGCUAGAGUACGGUAGAGGGUGGUGGAAUUUCCUGUGUAGCGGUGAAAUGCGUAGAUAUAGGAAGGAACACCAGUGGAGAAGGCGACCACCUGGACUGAUACUGACACUGAGGUGCGAAAGCGUGGGGAGCAAACAGGAUUAGAUACCCCAGUAGUC